AAUUAGAAAAGCUCCAUCGGAAAACAACCAUCCCAUCCUUAUAUAUUCCCCUAGGUAUAACCUAAUGAUAGCCAAAAAUCCUUCUUCAUACCCCCCCUUAAUAUCAUAUCCCCUUUCUUUCAAGCCUUCAUUUGAUCAUGUGUACAUUAGUGGCAUGUAACUCGGUCGAGUCUAGGAGUCAGAGUUGCUAAGUUUUGAAGAAUGCAGGAUUAUGUGGUCUCCCUUCUUCAGUUUGAUGUGUAUGUAAAAUCUCAAAAAAAAUGGGAAAAAUAGAAAUUUUUUGAAAAUCUAAAAAAAAACCAGUCUCGGGACAAGAAAAAUAAAAAAGUCGAAAAGAAGGCCAAAAAGUCUCGAGUUAGAUAAAAUAACGAGC
rnacentral:lncRNA from 1 species